CUCCGGGUGGUCUAGUUGGUUCAUGGCGUUCGACUGUAAAUCGAAAAGUCAGCGGUUCGAUUCCGCUUCUGGAGA
rnacentral:tRNA from 1 species